rnacentral:rRNA from 1 species
CGUACACUCCUGCGGGAGGCAGCAGUGGGGAAUAUUGGACAAUGGGCGCAAGCCUGAUCCAGCCAUGCCGCGUGAGUGAUGAAGGCCCUAGGGUUGUAAAGCUCUUUUGUGCGGGAAGAUAAUGACGGUACCGCAAGAAUAAGCCCCGGCUAACUUCGUGCCAGCAGCCGCGGUAAUACGAAGGGGGCUAGCGUUGCUCGGAAUCACUGGGCGUAAAGGGUGCGUAGGCGGGUCUUUAAGUCAGGGGUGAAAUCCUGGAGCUCAACUCCAGAACUGCCUUUGAUACUGAAGAUCUUGAGUUCGGGAGAGGUGAGUGGAACUGCGAGUGUAGAGGUGAAAUUCGUAGAUAUUCGCAAGAACACCAGUGGCGAAGGCGGCUCACUGGCCCGAUACUGACGCUGAGGCACGAAAGCGUGGGGAGCAAACAGGAUUAGAAACCCUGGUAGUCCCAUGA